UCUUGACCACUUUGCUCAGAGUAUCCUUCACUUCUGUGUUUCUCAGACUGUAGAUGAGCACUGGAUCUACAACAGUGUAAAAAACUGAGAAGACUUUCUUCAGUGCUUUGAGAGUCCUCGUUUUUGGGAUUGGCAGUCUAUUAUUUGUUUAGGAAAAAGUGAUCUUCCAGGGACCUGGUGUCACUUAUUACAUUAAAUAUUUUUGCACACACAAAUAGCCUCUGUGCAGAGCCUCCCACCUGGACACAUCAAUGCCACAGUCAGUGGGAACAGCCAGUGUCCAAAGGACCAACACCAUGAGGUUUAACAGGACCACUGGCCAAAUUUGACAGGAAGCAUCACUUAAGUGGCCACAGGCUCUUCCCCCAGCAUUGCUGAGAAUUAGAAUUCAGCCAGGCUCCAAGGAGAAGCUCAAUGUAUUCUUUGUGGCCUGUGGAGAACCCACACUGGAGCAGAGGAAAAGUGUGAGAGGAAAGAAGCAGCAGAGGGGAACCCCCACACUGAGCACAACCCUCCCCACCCACUCUGA